rnacentral:rRNA from 1 species
GCCAGCAGCCGCGGGAACACCGGCGGCCCGAGUGGUGAUCGUGAUUAUUGGGUCUAAAGGGUCCGUAGCCGGUUUGGUCAGUCCUCCGGGAAAUCUGAUAGCUCAACUAUUAGGCUUUCGGGGGAUACUGCCAGACUUGGAACCGGGAGAGGUAAGAGGUACUACGGGGGUAGGAGUGAAAUCUUGUAAUCCCUGUGGGACCACCUGUGGCGAAGGCGUCUUACCAGAACGGGUUCGACGGUGAGGGACGAAAGCUGGGGGCACGAACCGGAUUAGAUACCCGGGUAGUCCCAGCCGUAAACGAUGCUCGCUAGGUGUCAGGCAUGGCGCGACCGUGUCUGGUGCCGCAGGGAAGCCGUGAAGCGAGCCACCUGGGAAGUACGGCCGCAAGGCUGAAACUUAAAGGAAUUGGCGGGGGAGCACAACAACGGGUGGAGCCUGCGGUUUAAUUGGACUCAACGCCGGACAACUCACCGGGGGCGACAGCAAUAUGUAGGCCAAGCUGAAGACUUUGCCUGAAUCGCUGAGGGGAGGUGCAUGG